AUUGAACGCUGGCGGCAGGCCUAACACAUGCAAGUCGAGCGAGCGGCGGACGGGUGAGUAAUGUCCGGGAAACUGCCUGAUGGAGGGGGAUAACUACUGGAAACGGUAGCUAAUACCGCAUACCAUCAGAUGUGCUCAGAUGGGAUUAGCUAGUCGGUGGGGCAAUGGCUCACCUAGGCCACGAUCCCUAGCUGGUCUGCGAGGAUGACCAGCGACACUGGAACCGAGAUACUGUCCAGAUGCCUCCGUGAGGAAGCAGUGGGGAAGAUUGCACAAUGGGCGCAAGCCUGAUACAGCCAUGCCGCGUGAGUGAAGAUGGCCUUCGGGUAGUAGAGCGCUUUCAUCGGGGAGGCGUUGCCCGCAGAAGAAGCACCGGCUAACUCCGUGCCAGCAGCCGCGGUAAUAC
rnacentral:rRNA from 1 species